rnacentral:rRNA from 1 species
UACGAAGGGGGCUAGCGUUGCUCGGAAUCACUGGGCGUAAAGCGCACGUAGGCGGAUUGUUAAGUCAGGGGUGAAAUCCUGGAGCUCAACUCCAGAACUGCCUUUGAUACUGGCGAUCUCGAGUCCGGGAGAGGUGAGUGGAACUCCGAGUGUAGAGGUGAAAUUCGUAGAUAUUCGGAAGAACACCAGUGGCGAAGGCGGCUCACUGGCCCGGUACUGACGCUGAUGUGCGAAAGCGUGGGGAGCAAACAGG